rnacentral:sRNA from 1 species
AAACAAAUAAAUUUCCCAAUAAACCUAUUUGAGGCGGGACGAAAGGCGAAAAGGGGGAGCGGGUAUAAAAAUGGCGUAGUUUACCUCAAUUAACACACCAGCUGGGCGGGCACAUUCGCUGCAGGAGGCGGUGGAGAUGGAGGAGCCGGAGGAGGACCUGGUGUGGGUUUAAUUGCAGGCAAUGGCCAAUGGUCAGUCAGUCAGACAAGCCCGUAACCCAGCAUCCGGCGCCGACCACGCCCCGUUCUGGAUUUUAUCGCCAGCCGUAACGACACUCCAAGUGUUCGUCCUGCGAAGCCAUUAAAAACUGGAGGGGCCAGCCGACUUGGACCGCCCUGCUCCAGUCGUUUCCACGUUUUUUGCCCCCUUUUUUGGCAUGUAAUGACCGAAAACAAAUCGACAAGGAGCAGCAUCGGUGGCAGGAAAUGUCUGGUCCUGGAGCCAUUUAAUGCCCAUGUAAAUGUGAGCUAACAAACCUACAAACCUACCUGGUCGCCAUUAAAGUUCACUUUAUGCUGCUGGCCAUUUUGCAGCAUAAGCCAGUGAAAAGGAUGGGCAUCCUUGGCAUGGCCCGAAGACACUGGGCUGCAACUGUUUCUAAUUGUGUGCUAUGUGUGUGUGCAUAAAAAUGCUAAUUUUAUGCCUCGCACACACAGGCGAAACAAGUUUUCAUCUUGUAAAUAUUUUCAUUAUGGCCAGCCGGGCGAGCGGCAACAGCUGUCCUUCCAGGACAUAAAAUGCCCGUUUAUGAACGUGCCCAGAAUGGCCGAGCUGUUUCCACUAUAUAGUGGCCCCACUUCGAGAGUUCAGGGCUCAAAAGCCAAACUGGGACGCAUCCUAAAUAAUCGGAACGGCUUCUCCGGCUGCCUGGCCACUAAGUGCGGUAAUAAUUUGCGAAAGAUAAAACCCAAGUAAUUACCUCGACUUUUAAAUGAUUGUUACGAUAUUCGGGAAAGUGCGCGACUCCCAACUUACGAUAUUCGGGGACUUUUAAAAGUCUUUUGCAAUUAAUUCUUGGCUGCCUUGUCAUAAGAUUGAAAUUAUAUGUUAAAGACUGUAUUAAACUAUUUUUCCAGAGUGUUUUAGAGUGAUCGUCUAGGUCUAGAACUGAAAUUUCUCCACUUUUCUUUUUCUGCUUGUUUUUUAGCUUCUACUGGCGUUUAUUUUUUCUAGUUUCUAGCCGCUUUCGAGCGAAAUUUCCCGGAGCUCGUGCUUUUGUUUUGCAGCUGCAGCUUUUCCACUCCCCUGCUUUUCCCUUUGUUUUUGUCGCCCGGCGUUCCUUGUUUUGCCAGCUUCCGUUUCCGCCGAGUUUGUUUUGAGUGUGUGUAUCUGUGUGUUUUGCUACUGAGUUUCGUCUUCCUGUUGGCGCCUUUUGGGAAAACUCGUCCAGUUGCCUACACUGCCUCUAGCCCUAUAUACACUCUAAAAUAAUUCGAACUGAUUCAUGAGGUAACCAGGAAGUCGGCGGCCAUUGAGAAAGUUAAGAAUAAUAAUUUCUAAAGAAUAAUAAUUUUGUUUUAAUGAAGUAUUAAUUUUUUAUUAUUUUUUUAAGGAAUAAACAAUUGCGGCCUAAUUUCUUUGAAUGCAAGCGGCUGCUUGCUCCCCAAACUGCCCUCAUAUUUCGCCAUUUUCGUUUACUUUGUGAAAUUGUAAAAUAUUACACAAAUAAAAAGAAAAUUGUUCGGCUUGGGGGGAAAAUGAGGCUACUUAGGAUAUCGCCUGGGGACCCCCAAUGAAGCCAGAUACCAAGUUUAAUUUCUCCCCGACCGCGUAUUAAAGUCAAAAGCUUUGACGGCGCUCCCGCCUAAGAAGUUUUCCCUAUUUUAUUGCAUUUUUUGGGUCUUGUUCCGAGCGCCAGAAAGUCGGUAAAGGACUUGAUGAUGCCGCGCUGACGUGGCGCAUUCGUGGCACGUUGGUUGGGGCGGGGGCGUGGAGUCCAGUGGGGCCCAGGGGGCUGAUGCUGGUGUAAACUCAUCGCAUUUGUGCAGCUGUUUGGCUGGCAAGUUGUAUUUUUUUUGGGGCUUUCUGUAGUCUGCUGACGACAUUUUGUCAUGUUGUUUUUGCAGCUCAGCUGGCUCUGCCCCCUUUCCUGCAGUCUAAUAUCAACACUUUUGUGCUACGUAAUUACUUUGAAAUUAGUUUGCGUCGCAAACUUUGCACAUUAUGCGCAUCCUUAUGCCCACAGAUCUCCCCAGCCCCAAAAUAAAUGUAUAUAUGUAUAUAGUCGCAGCCCCCAAGCAUUAAAGUUGCCAUUAGCGCGCUUUCCUCCACUUUCUAUAUUUUCCCCGUUUAUUUGUUUGCUGUUUUGAUGCUGUUAGUGCAUCUUGUUUGUUAUUUCAUUAAACGAAAUGUUCGGGAAUUUUCGGCGCCUCAAGCGAACUCUGUUUUCGCUCAAAUAAAAAUAAAUAUCAUUAAAUUGCUUAUUAAAUAAGCAGCCAGUGUGUGGAGUGCAUUUCGCUAACUAAUGUUUUGGAAACAGUCAAAAAGCGAGCCAUAGAUAAAAUAAUCCGCAUAAUUAAGUGUGGUUUAGAGUGCUUAAACAACUGGAAAAUGUCAAAUGGUAUUUUAAAUGUUAGUUAUAGGCGCGAAUUUAAAGGUUUUUCCUUAUUGUAGAGUGUACUGUUGUUGGGGGAAAAUAGUAUUUUUGCUAGUCCAAUUAAACAAAGCAAGUGAUUAAACGGUAGAGAUUUGGUUCUUAUAAUAUUAAAAGCAUCAUACACUGAGAAAGACAAUGCAUUUCUGUUCGUGGACUCAAAAAGUUAUGUUUUGCAUCUCACUUGCGCUCGAGUUUACUGAUGUGUAAGGACUUUAAGGACAUAAACAUCCUCAUUCCCCCGAUUUCGAUCAUUACGUGCCAGACAAUGCGUUUUGCUGUUUAGCUUUUCAUUCCAUGAAAUAAGAAACUGCACCGCAAAAACAACAAAGUCGGCACAGCAGCUGCAUUCAGAGAAAACAAAUAAAUAAACAACUGGCGAAAUGAGCACGGCGAAUGAAAGGACGCGGAUGCGGAUGCGGCUGCGGAUGUGGCUGCGGAUGUAAUGGAGCGGGAAUGGAUGUGAGCGCACUGUGCAGUGCGGCUAAUGGCAAAAAUAAUAUUUAACCAGAAAAUGGGGCAUGGGAAACUAUGGAUUUACUGCCUGAUAUAUGUGCGGGAGGGCGUGGCUGUGGCGGGUGGCGGGGGGCGUGGUCGUGAACAUUACUAUCUCUUCCGCCCUUUCAAUUACAAGCGCAAACAUUAUGUACAGCGACCACGUUGCGUAUGCGCAACAUUAAAUGCAGUCGUUGCAGAAACGCUGAAAUGAUGUUGCCAUCGCUCCUGCAAGCUGUGCAAUUAAAAUCAUGCAAUUUUAAUACGCAGUGCCAACACGGGCAUAAGUAAAUAAGCGACAAAAGCAGCAGGACUGCCACCGAGCGCUAAGCAAACAUUUUAAAAUAUUUAAAUACCAAGGAGCAGCAGCCACUGGACCACAAAGUAUACAACACCUUCGGGUAGCCAGCCCAAAGGUACUCUGCAAUAAUAGUAGUUCACGUGUGCCCUGAGGUGCCAUGCGAUGCAUCUCAGAUUUGCAUAAAAUAUAUCUGGAAGCAAGCACAUCCUUUAAAUAAAUACUAUUGCCUUGUAUUUAUAUUUCCUGUCCAAGAGUUGUAAGUUUUUAGAAAUACAAAUUGAAGUUUAUAUGCUGAAAGCAUAUAUUGUAAAUAUAUUUCUAUCAAGAGAUGUUUUCGCUAAACGGCUUGAUAAUAAACAUACAGAAUAGUGCAAAUAAGAUGUACCUGCGUAUUCUAAACACCUGCAUAGCAUCUUUAGUGGCCUUCUGGCUGGUUGGUUGCCUUUAUGUCGCCAUCACAUUCUUAACUGUAGUUGGACCCAUAUAUAUUCUGGGAUAUAAUAUACCCGGCGACCUUUUCGAGUACCCUGCACAUAAAAGGUAAAAACCGUUGACGUGUCGUGGAUGUCGUGGUGUGGGUGUUGGCGAUGGUGUUGGCCGGGUUAAGUGCCCGCCCUGUAUUUUUACGCUUGAUUGUGUUUUAUGGCCAGACGACGCCCAGCAGGAACAGGAAGAGGAGCAAGAGCAGGAGCAGGAGCAGGAGCAGGUGGGGUGCACAUUACUCGUCGCUGUCCCCGGCAGCCACAGGACCAUAAAUACUGUGGCUUGUUCUCGCAUGUCCGUGUCGGCACGCCCAUAAGCCCCACUCCUCGCCCACGUCCCCAUCAUCGUCAUCCGUGCCCUGUGCCCUUUGCCCUCUGCCCUCUGCGCCGUGUGCUCGGCCAAAAGGAGCCAGCUGCAGCGGCAGCCUGCUGCUCCUGCAUUUUUUACGAUGCAACCCAGGUUGCACAAAUAAUGCACAAGCCAAUGAAGCAUGCCACCGGCACGUUUGCAAAUGCGUCCCGCAGUCGGACAACCCGCCCCUUUUCACCAGCGAUUUUCAACUUUGUGCGAUUUUCAUUUCUUUAUUAUUAUUUCCUCCUUUUUGUUUGCCGCGCACUAAUGAAAAACUUUGCAUCCGGCAAGUGCAAACAAUAAUUAUGGCCAAAAGGGGCUGAGCAUCGGGGCGGGAUCGAAGAAGACGAAUCAUAACUUGGCCCUGGCAGACACGCCUCCUUUGAGGCGGGGCGCAAAAAUAAUUGAAAAAUUCUUGGCAACCAGUUGCAAAGCAAUUCCAUUUCCUUGGCCAAGAGCUCAUAGACAAUAUUUGGCAAUCGAAAUUGUGGUAAACAAAAUGAGGAAUGUACUGAGCUGCCUCAUACCAUGGUAUAUACUCUAUAUAUAUUAUUUUUAAUGAUUUAAAACGGCUCUUAGUUGCUGUCAGGUGCCUUACAUCAUCUUGCUCAAUCUUACAUCAAUCAUUAUUAAUUGGACGUCUUCAGAAUUGGGCAUUCCAUGCGUUGGUUCAGACCAUUCCUCUGCUGUUAUAGGCAUUCAUUAUGCACCCCGUGAAAGUUUAAUUAAUUUGGCUGACCCUCGGCUGGAUAGAAACCGAAAAUCAUUUAUUAUUUUAAUUAAGUCAACAACUCAACUGCUGCCGUUGCUGCUGGCCAGGUGGAAAAUUGCAGAAAUAAAUGAGCCAACUGUCAAGCGCCGGCCUCCAAGGCGGAAAAGCGGUAGUUUUCCGGGUUUUCCGGGUGGAGAAAGGCGGCAGCAACAUGUUGCUGACAGUUGUUCAAUUCGCAUCUGAAAGUUGGUUCAACUUUUGUGGCCUUUGUGCCAUCAUUUUUGCAUUAAUUAAUAACGAGCUUCAUUUAUUGAUUGAAGUGCGCAAUCAGUGGGGCUCACUGCCUCGGGACAAAUGCUGUCAGCGGCCAUUUGCGGAGCCCUCAUUUGAUUAAUUAAGUUUAUUGUGCGAAAAAAUCAUAAGCAACUGAAAGGGAUUUCAGUGGCUGCCAGGAGAUCACUUAUGUUCCACGUCACCAUUCAUAUUGUGUCCCUCAGCUGACAAAGAAAAGUUGAAGCCUCCUGUUCGGCAGCCUUGCUUUAUGCAUAGCAAAUUUCCGCAUAACAAGGUUACUCCAGUGCCUACCUUUCGUGCAUAUAAAUACGAGAUGAAAUGCUCCAAAAUAAGCACACAUAUAUUUUUUGGAAUAUUCUUUUUUCUUUUUUUGCUUUUUUGCCCGGCACUUAACACGCCGCGUGUUUAUUAUGUAUGGAGCGUAGUCAACGAGAGGCACUCACGCACAUUUGGAAAAGGACGAGGAAGUUGCUGAAUAGGUAAUAUUCGCCGCCUCCUGCGCUGCGGCCCAUUUAAGUUAGAUUAGCCGAGAAUAAUAUUAAUCAAUCACGCCUCGGGAUUUGGCCAGGCACGCGUCUUCAUCCUUCGGCGGCCAUUUUGUUGCUCCAUUUGCCUAAGACCAUCGGCAGUUCCAGGCGCCCAUCUUGGGCAUGGGGGCAUGUAUACGUGCACAUACAUCCCGCCGACUGAUGUUGAUGAGCUCCAUCAUGUUGUCCUGGCUCUCGGCUGACAGCUGCUGCCCCUUGGAAUACGUGUCCUGGCUUAGUCCUUCGCUCUGCCUGUUGUCAACUUUUGGGGCGCAAGAAAAAUGGCCAAAGUUGAAGCGAACAAAAAAGCUGGUUAUCUGGGGAGGGCGGAGUGUAUGCGAUUGGGCGGCAGGCCCCAGGACCUGUGUGUCCUGUCAGUCUGCGCUGCUCUCGCUCUGUUAUAACAUCAUUUAUUUAGCUGCACAGACGACAGACAGCAGCCACUCUCGUUUUUAUUUGAAUUUAUGCUGAUAAUGUGCAGAAACAACAAAAUGAAAGAGCAAGCUAGAACAAUGGGUUUUUUCGGUGCUGGAGCCAGAGCAGCUGCAACUAGGUGUGCUAGGUUCCAGGGCCUGGAUCCCCAGGGAUAUGAUUAAUCUGCCCAACGCCACGCACUUUAUCAUGGGCUACAUGCAAAAAGCAUAUUAAAUAUUUACAACCCACUGCCAUUUCUUCUGGUGAUGCAAUUCCGGGUGAUGGAACACGGAACACGGAGCAUGGAAUAUGAAAUGUUUUAUGGCAAAGUCAAUUCAUUUAUUGAUACACGUUUAAGGAGCUUCUGCUAGCAGCAUUUAUAUCCCAAAGUUUGCUGACGCUGUAACAAUUUGGCAGCUUGUUGCAUAUGGAAGAUGCUUUCCCCAUCUAUCAUCAUAAAUUUCCGUUGACGCACCCCAUUGGCAGAUGUUCUUGUCCAUGCUCCCUUCAUGUUUGCUUUUCGUGUCGAAUUUCCCCCCGAUUUUCUAUCAUUUUUUACCUCCUGGCGAAGGUGAGAAGUGUUUCCGCUUGGUGGGAGGUGGGCGUAGGGCGUGGCACGCGAUCCAGCUUAAUGUCUACUAAAAAUCGAAUUGUGAUCCAUCACAUCAACUAUGUCCGCUGAAAGUGCAAGGUCGAGCUCGGGAAAUCCACACUUUUCCGCCACCCUCGGGAAGUGAUGUGAUUUUCGUUGCGCAUUUAUGUAUGAUUUUAUAUUUAUGAGUUGGCUGUUAAAAGUCGCUGGUGCCACUGGUGUAUUUAUGCUUUUAAUGCCAUUUUACGACGAGCCGAACAGACAUAUGCAUAAGCGGAGGAAGCUCGUAUGAAUUCCCGGGCUGGGCAAACAUUAAUCAAACUUUUAUGCCGGCUUAAAGAGCAUAAAAAACGGGUGGCCUACUCAUUAUCAAUGCACAUAAACGGCGCUGUGUGCACACUCAAAGCGGAACUACUCGCCUUAAAUAAUACAUUUUCCCCAGCCUCGGGUGAAAAGGACUCGGCGGCAACAUCUUGGCGAAGUAAAAAGUUGAAGAGCACUUGAUGACUUGCCGCCGGCAGUGGGCGUACACCACUGCGGAUACGCGACGCGUCCCAGGCAACCGCAGCCGUCCCAAUAAGCCACUUAAAAAGUUUAUAAUUAGCAGCAGCGCGGAAGCGCAAAAAAAGUAGAGUAAAUUAAAAACUGUAGCUGAUAAGUAACAAGCGACAAGAAAUUGGGAAAAGCGAGAGGAGGCUAAAAAGAACGCUGAUUAUAUUAAAGUUACCUAACUUUAAUGUGCAUCAAAUUUAAGUAGAAUUUACUUCUAUUUAAAGACUUGUUUGAUUCUAAAUUGCUAAUUCGAACUCUAGAAUGAAUUGGAUACUUUAUGCAGCGGGCAUGUUUAAGGUUUGAGUUCCGACUUUGUAAGGCUUUUGAAAGAUUACACUUAACACAAACUCUUGUACCUGAAGAGUAAUCCAAACAAAAAAACAAACAAUUGUGUUUCUCUUAUGCCUUCGUUAAUAAUUAUGCGGCUCAUCAAAAUGCGCUUCAUGUAGUCUUGGCUUUUCUUCCGCAAGGCAAAAAAGGCUGGAAUAUUAUUUUUAAUCAAUUAAGUUUUGUCAGGCGCGCCCAAAACUAAAACAUAAAUGAUGAGCCCGGCACGUGACAUGUCUGCUAAAUGUUUGGGCUUUUCCGCUCGCCGCUCGUCGUUCUGUGUUCGCUUUUCCAUUUUCCUUCGCCACUUUUCCCCACUCAGCACCAACACUAACUCAGGGGCACUCACACUGGCAUAAACAUACAAUGGCCUCGUUAUCUCUGCCCAUUUGGUCGCCUCAUAUUUACUUACGUCCAUGCAGUUAAUAAUUAUGUCAGAGCCUGUAGCUCGGGCUUUGGCCGGGUUUGUUUGUGUGGACUCACGCCUCCUUGUUAUGAAAUGCCCCUAUUAUAUGCUCUGCUGCUUCUAAUAAUGCGCCCGUUGCUGUCAAGUGCUGGCCUAGGACAAAGGCGGGUAAGGGAGGGUAUGGGAAUGGGAAUGGGAAUGGCCCUGCUCCUUUUCGAUCCCUUAAGAUGUGCAAACAAAAGCGCAGCGGCAUUUAACUUGUGUGUGCCUCUCCCCCGGCAUGUGUGUGUGUGUGUGACAGCUGUUGUCCUGUUGUCUGGCAAGCGGAUGUGCGAGCAUUGUGUUGGCACAUCCGGUUACAUUAUGAAACUAACACACGCACACACAAGAAGGCUCGAGAGGAGCGUACGCACACACCAGCACACUGGGCACAUAAACUUAAAUGGUUCGCCUUUUUUGAUGCUGCAGCUGCUCCUGAUGAUGAAACCCGAACAGUGGCACUAAAAAGGACCUCGUCCUGAUACGUGUUUUGACAAGGGAGAACGAGCUGGGCAUUGAAAAAGUGCAGUUUAAAAGUAUACCUACAUGGGAAUGGAUUUUUUUUACUUAAAAAUGCACUUUGAAUCUUAAUAUUAUCAAAUCAGAUUACUUGUAUUUCGGUGUAGAGAAUGAACACAUAUCCGUGGUAGCUCCACUGUACUCCCCAGUUAACUAUACUCAUUCGCCGCCAAGUCCCUACUGAACUUGAAGUAACUGCUCCGAAGUGUAACUACAGGAGCUUACACGUUGCGGCCAUAUUUCAUGGCCAUUACCAGGACCUGGACAACAGGAUGCUUUUAUCCAAUGCCAGUUAAAGAUAAUUUUGUGUGCAGAAAAUCACAGACUCCUCCUCGUUUGAUGUUCAUACAUCCGUAGCAGGGACAAAGAAGAAGCCUCUUUGCUUCCUAGUUGUCCUUUGGGGUUCCCUGGGCUCUGGUGUAAGCAGAUAAUUACAUAAAAAUGAAUAAUAAUCCCCACAGAGGGCACUAGCGUCUCAAGAGCACCGACCAGGGCUUAUUGACUAAAUGUGUUAAUGAUUUUGCAAAUUGAAUUGGGGGCUAGGUGGCGGCAGGAAGCCAGGAAGCAGUCACCUGCAACAGGAUGUCAAUUUAAAUAGCCGGAAGCCAGUGCCGGACUCCAAGGGACGUGUGAUUUGUGUACGUGGAGCGGAAGUGGCCGCCCGAUAAAGUCCAGGAAGUAUCCCAAAAGGAGUUGCCGACGAGGCAGAGGUAAGUGGAUAUCCUUGACUACACUUGCACAAGCUUAGUGGUUGGGUGGGCAGCUUUGAAGGGUUAGCAGUACAGUACAUAACUAAAUAUUAUUGUCAAACCUUUUCUAAGGUAUCAAUGUUAUUCUCUUGCAAAAUUCCUACAAAUUCAAUUACAACCCAUCGAAUUGCUUUUCAAGUGCAGGGACUCCUGCGGCUGGCCAAGCGUCAAGUGCAGCAGAGGAAGAUAAAAGAAAAGCCGGAGGAAAAGGAAAAUCGCUCGAUGGAGGGACAACGGAAAAGUUAUUAGUUUGGCGGGACGCUAAGACAAAUAGCGCUUAUAAAUAAGCCAGUGGGAAAUGCGGCAGAGACCAGCGGAUGAACCUCUUGCAGUCUUAGCCCUAAAGCAAAUAGAAAUGUAAUAAUGCGAUAAGAACAAUGGGGCGAACUAUCUGGGGGGCUUUCCUCAGAGCCGUCGGCCUCCCCCGAUUUCCACCAAUCCAUCUCGAAUAGCUGAAGCGUGAUUAUGAGCAGCCUAAGCGUAUUAGGGCUCGGGUGAUUGGACCUUAUUCUUCUUCUCCAAUCUCUCCGAGCGAUAAAGCAAAUGAAAAUAGCGCUUUCUGUUUACUUUCGCAGGGGGUGUGGCCAGUACACACAGAUACUAUGUGUACGUGAUGUAUGGCCGAGACAUAUGGCCAAGCUGUCCCCGGCUGACAGAUGCUGCCAUAGAUGGAGCACCCUGCAGACAAUCUGCAGUCUCAGCAAAUUUGCGCCACGAAUUGAGUUAUCGCAACGACGGAUGGGAUGGGGCGGGAUGGGAAAAUGCCUCAUGAUUGCCCAGAAAUUGUGAAAUUUGUUAAAUGACGUAACUGAAGAGUUAUGGGAAGCUUCUACAAUUUAUGGCGGAUCAUUUUGUACACUGGCUCACUUAAAUUACCCCUUCUGCAAGGCAAACUUAGCAUGUUUCUCGAUCACGUCUCUGCUAGUAAUAAUAAGCGUAGUUCCGAUAUCUCAAAUACCUGCUAACUUUAUCACUAUGUUUUUUGUGCAACCCUGGCUUAAUCUAGCAAAUUGAAAACUUAAGAGUCUGCUGGAGCAACAGAUGCGUUCGAGGCAUCAAAUCCUGCUCAGCUGCAGCUUAGUUGCUGUCAUGCCCAGACAAACACUGGCCCAGUUUGGCCCCACAUCUCCCCAGCCACUGGGCAGCCAACCUGGCCGGGAAGCAGGAGCAACCAUCCCUUAGCCCCAUGUCCCCAGUCGUCCGUUUCUCAGCCCUUCGUCCGAUUUCCGAUUCCUGUUCUUUGCUGUCCGCCGCAGAUGCGACUCGCCUUUGCCGCUGCGAUGCGAUGCCUUUCCUUGCCUCAUUUUCAAUUGAUGUAUCUGCCGACGUUGUAUUUUUAAUGCGAGGAAAUGAUGCGGGGGCGGAGUGGGAGUGGCAGUGGGAGUGGCCGGGUAACUGGCUCCGUUGGGUCUUUAAGCCAUGUGCAAUCAUCGAUGUGUCUGUUGGCCUGGAUCCCCUCGCCGUCGUUGGCGCAGCAUCUGCCAUUGCCACUGCCUUUGCCCAGGACCUCCUGGCUGCUCCUCGAUCUCCGAUGGCAAAAUGUGAGCCGCAUUUCCGCAAAGUCGGUGAGCUCAGCCACGAUGGCAUAAGGAGGAGGAUGGGAUGGUAAGGGACUGUGAGCAACAUUAUAGCUAUUGCGGCACUGUGGUUACAACCCAUUGCUUAAAAGUAGAUUCAAAUUUAAUAAAUAACUACAAGGAUUUUCAAGUAUUUACUUAGGAAGCCAAGUAAAUUUCGAUAUUUCUAUAAAACAAAAAUAUAGAUUGCUCUAUCUUUAAAAUAAAACUUUCUAGCAAUCGAAUGAGACCACUCACACCUAAUAAAUUUAGAAACAGAGAACACCACUGUGCGUGGCAUUUCCGUAUCCAAUGCGGAAUUGCGAAUGCAACAGACAAGACCCGGAUGGCGGAGGAGUGGGCCGUGGGAGGACUCACACGACUUUGUCAUUAUAAAUUGAAAGACAUUUCUAGUCGCGUUCUCCCCGCGCCAAAGGACCUUCCUCGGGAAAGUAGGUGGAGGGGGGAGACGAUUAUUUUCGUUUUGUGCCCCAGCUGAUUGAAAUUUCAACUUCCGCCUGGGACGAGGGACGUCAAUUGAAUUACGAAACUUUUGACAUUUGCUGCAAAAGUAAUACUAAGGCAGGUAGCGAGGAACGAGUAAUUCCCUGGAACACAUGAAAAAAGCGCACUCGUGCUUAAAGUUGCCCGGAGUUUAGUUCCCUUAUUUUUUGCAAUAUUGGAAGACGCCGCAGGACAGGUAACUAAGGCAGUAAAUGACAGUAAAUGAUUGAACUGGCCCGCCCCGGCCAGUGACAAAGUAAGUCCGCUUACGUGACCCAAGACCCCGGGAACACAGUCUUCCGGCAGCCCAACCAGGGUUCCCACAUGAUUUCAAAUUCCGUGCAGGUAAAAAUUCUGGCGCUGAAGAUUGCAGCAAAAAGCCAGAGGACGAAGCCAAAGCCAUGAAAAAGUGGGAAAGCAAUUCAGAUUACUGCAAGAGGGGCACCGAAGUUGCAAUGAAUUGAGCUGUGGCAGCGGGAAGCUCACUAAAAACAUAGAACGGGAUAAACUAAAAUCGUAUUCACAAGAAAUCAUUCAAUAUGAAUGUGUAUGGAUGUAGAAUUAGGACUAGAGGUAAAGGUACCAGUUAUAUAUCUUUUUGAAAUACACUAAGUUUAGCCUAGUUUUUUUCAGCAUGGUCACACUAAGAACCUGCAACACUGCCCUCUGUACAGCAUAUGAAGCCCAAUCUGCUAAACUAUUUUUUCAAGUGUGUGAAUUAUGAAAUAUAACUGCCGCAAGUUCGGAUGCGGACCUCAAGAACAAUGCAAGGAGGAGCAGGACACGUGCCAGGUCCAGGAUUUGGCCCCAAACCAGCAAACGAACCAUCCAUCAUCAUCAUCAUCAUCUUCGGGCUUCGGGCGUGAUCAUCCUCAUCGAAAGGAAAGCCAUUAGCUGGAAGCUAGAAUCAGAAAUCUGGACUCUCUCUGCAGCUUUCUGCUGCAAUUGCAUUUGGGAGUUAAAAUUCACGCUUGAAGUACAUCGCCAUUGUUCGCGGCUGGCAAUCUAUAACAUUGCACUAAUACGUGACGGCAAUUUGGUUGUCAUUAUUUUGUGUGCCAAGGGGAUCCGACGAUUUCAGCGUUCCCCAGUAAUCAAUGAAAUUGUCACAUAAUUGUAAGGCAGCAAUAACUGAAAAGAAGCGAAAUGGGUGGAAAGAGCGUUUUCACAACGGGUUCAUUCCGUGAUUUCCAACAAUGCCAAGGAAAUUGUGUUGUGCUAAGUGCUAUGAAUGGUUUCAAUUGUCAGUGGCAGGCGCCGGAAAAGGGUUGAGCAAAUUAUGAACAAUACAAUACAGGCAACAGCUAAGUAGUUCAAUUUCAGCAAGAACUUAGAAAGUCGUUAGUUAUCAUUUGUAAAUAAUUGAAUGGGAAACGAGUUUAAACCUACCAAGCUUUAUUUAAGGGUAGCAAUACAGAGAGCCUAUUAAAAAAUCUCUACCAUUCAAUGCAAUUAAGAUGGAUGCUUAGCUAAUAUCCAUGCGGAAUGGUUUCUUUUCUACAAAUUUGGCCUUAUAUUAAACUGCAAAUUGGACAUCGUAAGCCCACAGAAAUGAGAAACAAAUAAUACAUUUUCGGCCACUAACUCCACAUUUUCGCAGCCAAUUUCUGGACAAAACAAGAUGGAGUUUUAUGGCCACGCCAUUUGGGAAAGAAGUUAUAUAAUAUAAAUGAAGGAAGGAAGGUAGGAGGCAUGGCAUAUUAAUAUGUCAGAAUUUUUGCAUGCGCUGCACAAACAAAACGUAUAAAUUCAUGAGAGCCGAAAACGAUUUAGUUAAGCCGCUAAAUUGCCUAAAUUCGAUGAGCGGAGCGAAGGAAAAAAGCGGGAAAAAUUGGAAAAUCAAGCCGAGUGCAAAUACUUUGGCCUGCGGUUGGAAAUGGUAGCCCCCAACACCGCAACAUAUAUUUUUGCCAAACACACACUUCGGCACACAUAAAUAAAAUAAAAUAAAGGGACGCCAAGCCGAAGGCAUAAAAAUUUCAUCGAUUUCCGGUUAAAGGCAAAUAUUGUAACCAUAAAUAUGAGCUGACUAUAAACAUCGGAGUCGGAUGGCUGCGGAGGGUUAAAUAUGUGUGCAACGUGCGUGAGGGUUAACCGUGGAAAAGGGGGCGUGCGACGUGGCCCGUGGGCCGGGGGCGUGGCACUUUCACGCCAAUGUGGCGAUAAUGCGAUUGCUUUCGGCUUUGGCUUUGGUGCGCGCGAUUACAUUUCGAUUUGAUUUCGAUUUGCUCUGGCAUCGCCAACGACAUCGGCGUUUUUAUUUUAUUUUCAUUUGCGCUCUGCCAGCAGAGACAAAAUUUAAAUUGUUUUUCCCAUUGGCAUCGGCGGAAAACAAAUUCUAAAUAAAGUGGAACGUGACAAACGAUAUCUCCUCCAAUCGGAUUGCAACGAAUCCGGGCUGCGCUGCAAAGUAGGGGCUCUCGAACUUUGAGAGACAGAACGGUGAAUCUUGUUGCAGAAUAUUCAUUUUGCAUAGUCACUUUAAGUUUCUCUUUAAAUACUGUUUCGAUUCCAGUCAACAGAAGCUAAAUUGUAACCUCUUUAAAUGGCUACCAAAUAAUAAAAUUAUUAUAUAAUAAUUAUUAUAAUUUAGUAGGGGGUUUUCCCACCGAUCUAGCCGACCCACUUACUCAAAGCCCACAUUUUUGGCACGCAUAUUUGUUUACCACUGUGCUGUGCAACAAUAGCUGCGCGCUUUCAUGCCACUUUUAGACUUUUAGGCAAAUUGCAGAAGCAGAAACCAAAUCAGAGCCCGCAUCGGAAUGAGGAUCCCACCCAGAGCCCGGAACAGUUGGCGGCUGCGGCUGCCAGGCAACCGGCGCAAUCCAAACCAAUACGGCUAAGUGCCCGGGAGGCAAUCACAUCCCCGCAGUCGCAGGCGGAUUUGUAUUUAUGCCCGGCACUGUUGGUAAACAACGAUUUGCCAUUCGGCCAUCAACAAAGCCGCCGCGGGGGAUGUUGCGAAUCGAAAUUUGGCCGACAAAAAAUUUAAAUUAAUAUAAAUAAAUGCAUUGUCCAUCCGGCAUCAAAGCAAUAUAAUUCCCCGAAUUGUUUCGCACUUUUCAAUUGUUUGAUUUUCAAUGUCGAUGAUUGAAGCCCAACGCGUCUAACCCGAAGCAUGUUGUUCUGCCUUUAGAUUACAAAUAAACAUUUUGAGUUUUCAUUCAAACGACAAGCUUGCUGCCGAAUGAAUAUCAUCAGAAAGUACACAAAACCAUUGAACAAGCAGGAGAUACGCUUCGAGCUCAUUCAAAAAGUGUAAGCGCUGUGAACUUACGGCCAGAUAAUAAUUUACCAUUUGUUAUAUCCUAUCGCAACACCUGGCUAAUUAAUUCCGCUGCUUUGUAUAUUGUAUAUAGUAUUCCCCUCCAGCUUUUUCUGCGAAUAAACGCACGCUAAAUCUCUUCAAAACCAUUGAACCCCAAGGGUCUUUUAAUUAAGUAUACGCCGUGUUGUUUGCAGACUCAGCGGCAAGCUCUUAAAUCAAAGCCAAUCGCUUCGUAAGCCACGCUGCUACAUAUGCAAAUAAAUUCAGCCUAUUUAAUCACUUAUUUGUUUAUGUUUUUAAAUAACUAACAUUUAAUGAGCCCCCACCCUCCUGGGCACAGCCAUUAAACUUACAGAAGCCGCAACAACCGACGAGGGCUUAAAACUGAUUAAAAUGAAUGACGUUAAGCGGCGGGCAUAUUUUAAUUAUUUAAUGCUAAUUAAUAUGUUUUGUAAAACCACAAAAGCAGCGCCAAUAACAACAGCCACUACUAUCCAGAGGCAGCAGCUUGCUAUUAACAUUUCAUAAUGAGUUUUGCAUUUAAUUUUGUCAAACCGUGCUAAGCUCCGUUGACAGGAGAAAGGCGCGUGAGUGGAGUGUGGAGUGGAGUGGAGUGUGCCACCCAGAUACAUGUGGCGAACUAUUGAGACAGACUGUAAUUAAUUUGUUUGUUGACUUGGCAACCAAACUAAGCUGAAGGAGCAGGGAUGUGGGUGUGCCACACUCGAGUGUGCGUGUGUGAGUAAUUUGCGGGCUGCUCGUCAACUUCCUUUGCAUAUCUCACAGCUGUCAGAGACCGAAAAGUGUUGGCUUAGUUUUUGAUAUUUUUCUGCUGUGCAAAGACCUUAGAGAUACAAUACUUCUUGGGAACUCUAGAAAGAGACUAGAAUUGAUUGCCAGUGUUCUUGGAAAGGAACUCGAUCCUGGUGUACUCUUUGAACUGUGAUAUUGAAAUAUAUAAUAUUCCAUACUGUUAAGAAACCAGACUUUUCCCAGUCCCAGUCUCUGAAAUACUUAAAAUUCUUUUUUGUCAUAGAAAUAUUCAAUUUUUGUGGGUGAAAAAAGUAGUUGGAAUACUCCAACCAACUGAAACCAAUAACCAAACCCUCUUUCUUUGAGAGCUCAACCCUCAAACUAUUCCGGAACGCAUUUCCUUCCCCACAGACUGGCUUUCCAUAUCCAUCUCCGCUUCCAUGUCUCCCAGCUGAUUCAUGCCGCACAUUAAUAUUUUAAUGUCUUCAUUGCCCGGGCCUAGGCAAAAAAUAAACAAAAAGCAAAUGCCUCUGUCGCCGGUUGAGAGUCCCCAGCAAUCCAUUAAACGUUAUCAGCCAGUGACACAGUCCUGGCUCAUUUCAAAGGCAUCCCUUCCCCUCCGUCGGAUGGGAAACAUCCCUCCUCCCGGGCGGCUGUUUACGCACAUUUGUCUUGUGUUUGCGGAGGAAAAGCGGGAAAAGUUUUUGAAGGCUAGCCAGAACUAGCACUACAGUGGCAAGCACCCAGAUAGACAGAUAGGGAGCGGCUGGGCAAGGUUUUCCUGCCGCCUUUGGCGAAAUUCAAUUACAGCAAAUCGCAUGCAAAUGAGUUUGGGGCCUGCAAAAGUUAAACAGCAAAAAGUGGGGACCGAGCUAGUGGGCUCCUCCUGCGCCCCUCGAAACGUUUUCAAUUUCCAAAUUGCAUUUCCUUUCGGGCAUCCAGGGCCUCGGUACCUCGGUACCACCGUCCCACAUGGUUGGCAUCCUCACUCGGAUUUGCCGGCUUUUUGUUGCAGUCGCACUGCUUAACUGCAUUAAGCAUCACACCUACACGUGUUAUCCUCCGGCUCCUUCUGCUCCUGCUGCUCCUCCUGCUGUCAAAGUCAUUAUUCAUUUUUCACUUUGUUAUUUCGCAACGUGUGCGGAAUUCUCUUUGCGUUUCUAAUUUCGUUUUUUGGCCCGCUUUUCCCACUGGCAAAAACACGAAAAUAUUUUUGCUAGCGUAGUUUUUUAAUUAGUUGGUUGCCUUGCUGAAUGUUCGCAACAUAUGAAAUAUAUAUAUUUCAAUAUAGAUGGCAUUUGCAGGCGCAUUUAUGUGCAAAGCGGAUAGCGGAUUAUUUGCUAAUUAGUUUUCGAUGCAUAAGUUGUGCCCCGAGUAUUUUUCGAUGUUUUUGUUUGACAUCAAUUACUUGUGCAGCAAAUAGGAAUCAAGCGAAACUAUCAAAUAUUUGCUUUCACAUGAUUAUUUUGAAAAAAAGUUAUUUCCAAGCACAGUCCGCCUUUCGAUUUCAUAACAUUGACUCCCAUUUUUUCGAAUGCAAAGAUUGUUGACCAAUGAUGCACGAUAAUCCCCCGAUUCAUUCAUCCGUCUUUUGUGCACGUUGCGUCCCCUCAUAAUUGCCGAAAUAUCGAACACAUUGUCGGCGCCCUUUCAAUCCCCCACAUUUGUACCCAAUUAAAUGCAGCUUAAAUUUUCCCCUUGAAAACCGGUAAAACCCCAGGAGCACUCACACACUUGCGCUCGUCGGUGUGGCCCUCGAAUUGCCAACCAACUGCACAAUUUUUCAAUCAACUAAAAAUGUUUAGAAUGGCUUAUAUUCAUUCGCCCACCGAUCGAACUACGCUGUGCGCACUAUUCGCUACGCUUGAAAAUGUGUGCCACUGAUUGUGUGUGCCGCAGUUGCAAAAAUGCCAUAAAAUAAAAAAUGUCAAAAAAGCAAGGACUCGUAAAGGAGGGGCGGGGGAAAUGCAGACAAAAGUGGGCUAGGAAUGAGGGCUAAAGAAGGGACUGAAAACGAGAAGAAAUGAAAAGAGCCUACACUGAGAGAAAAUUCUACUAAGAGAAGAGCGGUAUGAAACCUAUAAGAUGGGUACUUAACUAGUCCUUGCUUUCAAAAUUAAAAGUAGCUCUUUAGAAACAAAAGUUCACACUAAUAUACUAAUAUGGAACUUAAAGAAGACUUAUAUAUUGUUAUUUUUCCGACAUGUCAUGUAACUUCUAUUGCUAAUUUAUGACUCACUUUUCCUCCGUGCAGGAGCGAAAGAGACCACCACUGUCUGGGGGCGUAUGAAAUUGCCAUUUCCAAUUAACGCCAUUGCAAAAAUAGUUAAAUGUCCACAGGACGAUGCAGCAACAAGAACACUCCGUCCUGGUCGAAAACAGCGCCAAAGCAAUGGCUGAAGGGGGAUUCCGGCAGAAGGAUCCGACCAUGGUGACAGUGGCCACCAGUGGGUGCCGUUGGGAAGUCCUGGUACUGGUCCCAUUUUGGGUUUUACUCCUGUUUCCAUUACCACUGCCGUUCGCAGCACCUGUGCCCCUACCACUCGCAAACACAGAUGCCAAUUUUUGGCAUUGGCUUGCUGGGGAAUUUCCACAGCCAUUGUAUGCGCAGUUAGCGGUAUGUGCAACUAACUCUAUUAACGAACCGGAAACGGAAAUACACGCGUCCACACAGAAGCAGUGCUUGUAGUGGUAAUGGGGCCAGAAUGACACAUUGCGUGGCCUGCGGACACAUGUUGUAAAUUUCAUGUCGAUGGAGUUGGCUUAACCAAUUUUUCAAAUAUUUUCCUUGGCAGGGAAACAUGGAAAACUUUCAUCGGAAAUUAGAAUGAAACAGCAAACAUUUUUCAAUUGCUUCUAUACAAUUUUAACAACUGCUAGAUUUCCUUUUUAUUUGUAAUCAAAUCGUAUAUGUUUGAACAAUGGAUCCAUUUGUUUUUUGGAAAACUGUGUUCAGAUAGUAAGCCAAUGUUUCAAAUCCUGAAGUAAGAGAUUUUCAGUAGGCCCCCGAACUUCACAAUGUGGACCGCAUUUUUCGCGGCUGUAUGCUGGCAGCUUUUGGCCAACCAUAAAUGUCCUUUCCACACCCAUCUCCACCCCCAGAAAUACAGGAACCUCUUCCAUAUUUGCACGUUUCUAUUGUGUACCCUGGAACUGCGUGGAAAAGGCGACUCGAUUUUUAUCGAUUUAAUCAAGCGGCUACUGCUGCUGCCUGUGAAGUUGGGAGGCUCCACCGCCCCACGCUACGCGAGUAUCCACUUUUUGUUGUUGUUCAGCUACCCGCGGGAUAUCUACUAAAAAAAAGUGGGUGGACAGAGAACGCCACCGAUUUCCAUACGUAAUUGCACUGUAAUUGACAAUUUAUUGUGUCAAUCGCAAUCGAGGCACAAUGCCGCAUCGCAUGCUGCUUUCUUUCUGCUAGCGGUGUGUGCCACGUUUAAUUAACAAGGCGACAACGAUGCCAACGGUUAAUGGGUGGUGCAGUGGGUGGUGCUGUUCAACGGGUGGUUCGGUGGGUGGGUUCUGGGCGAGCCAGCCGCGUUUGUAGCCUGCAAGAGAAAUUUAAUCUGUUUUUUAAAACGAGCUGGAUAAGUUGAGGCAAUCAAGCGGAAAAUCAGCAGUAACGCGCCAAAUGCAAACACCACCUGAUCGGUGGAAAUUCGAUGGGAAAAGUAUACUCUACGUCGGGAACUGGGAUUAAAUUGUAUUAGAGGUACUUGUCUUUUGCAGGAGUAUUGUGUUAUGAAUUUAGACCUUUAGACCUUUCCCUUAUAUAUAGAAAGUUUAUUUAUCAAUCUCCAACAUUUCUCUUUCUGCAAAACGACUUUUGGUAACGAUAAAAGUACUUUAAAACGGUUAUUUUCCUUAUAUAUCAAAUAAUUUCAGUCCGAAUCGAAACAAUUUUUAGAAAUGUCUAUGAAAAAACACUAAAUGACAUUAAGAAAUCUAAAAAAACGUAAAUAUAUAGGUAGAAUUCGUCCUUACAAAAGGUAAUUGGUUUUGUCAUCCCAGCAUUGCAACUUUUCCAAUAUUCCCAGAUCUAUGUUCCUGUUCAUCCUAGAACAUCCUUGCUAAUUUAUAGCUGGCGUAUCGGAGCUAAUCAAAGUCCAUCAAGCUGGGGGCCCACUAAACACCGUGCUAAUAGAGGCUUCCGGAAAGGAUUUAUGUUCGGCCCGCUGGGUUUGGUCGAAUCGAGUAAUGGAGGCUCUGAGGAGUGAGGAGUCGUGGCAUCUCAGCCUCUCGUGCUGAUCAGCAUCCAUCUUCGAGGCGUCGCCCGGUCACGGGUCUCUAAUUGGCCAUGGACGAGAGCCCUUCUCUGGCCCCACUCCCUGCUUGAUUAACGUGCCCACCAAUUACGCGGCCCAUAUAUAUCGUACAGGUCCACUGGAAACAAAUACUUGUUCAUUUCAAAUUAUGAAGAAGUUGUGUGUAUAACUGUACAAAACCAAUAGCAAAUCCCAUACUUUAACCAAGGAGUUAUUACAUUUUAAGAGUUUACCAAACUGAAUGUAGAGGAAAUGAAAUGAUUUCUCGCAGUGUAAGAAAGAAGGGGACCCCGUAUCGACGUGGCCAGUGAUAAAGUGUGCGUAACAAAAGCUAAUAAUUGCCAAGGCGACGUGGCCGGCCACGGUGAAAAGUCGCCCGUGCUUUGCCGCUCGUUGAGUGGCCAAAAACUUUGGCAUCAUAAUUUAUAGCUGCGUUAAACAAGCGAGGAUAACAAAUUAAUUUUGUCUGGGGCGACGGCACAAGCGGCGGACAAGAGGAAAAAACCGCAUCUCAGGACGAUGCCAGGACUUAUGAGCACGGCGCUCGCUCUCGAAUUUCUUAGUUGGGCCAAUUAAUUUCUAAAGUCAGGACGUGCUGGGCUCCUCCAUCCCCCUUGCCCACCGUGGGUGUGUGUGUGUGUUUGGCUGUCUCGUAAAUCUUAACGAACCAAAAGCAAAAUUCCUACGCAUCUCUCAGCAGGAACUCGCUCGCGAAUGCCGCUCAUAAAUAUAAGUUCCAAUGGCCAUCGAGACCACCAAAACGGAGGUGGGAGCUAUUGAAGGUGACUUAUUAUACAGGGUAUGGGCUAGGGUAUUCCAGACUUAACCAAGUUGUGGCUAAUUCUUUUAAUUCCUCGUAGGGUAAGAGAAUAUACAAGAUUAAGGAAAAUGUGUAUAACAU